rnacentral:rRNA from 1 species
ACGUUAGCGGCGGACGGGUGAGUAACACGUGGGCAACCUGCCUGUAAGACUGGGAUAACUCCGGGAAACCGGAGCUAAUACCGGAUAACAUUUUCUCUUGCAUAAGAGAAAAUUGAAAGAUGGUUUCGGCUAUCACUUACAGAUGGGCCCGCGGUGCAUUAGCUAGUUGGUGAGGUAACGGCUCACCAAGGCAACGAUGCAUAGCCGACCUGAGAGGGUGAUCGGCCACACUGGGACUGAGACACGGCCCAGACUCCUACGGGAGGCAGCAGUAGGGAAUCUUCCGCAAUGGACGAAAGUCUGACGGAGCAACGCCGCGUGAGUGAUGAAGGCUUUCGGGUCGUAAAACUCUGUUGUUAGGGAAGAACAAGUACAAGAGUAACUGCUUGUACCUUGACGGUACCUAACCAGAAAGCCACGGCUAACUACGUGCCAGCAGCCGCGGUAAUACGUAGGUGGCAAGCGUUAUCCGGAAUUAUUGGGCGUAAAGCGCGCGCAGGCGGUUUCUUAAGUCUGAUGUGAAAGCCCACGGCUCAACCGUGGAGGGUCAUUGGAAACUGGGGAACUUGAGUGCAGAAGAGAAAAGCGGAAUUCCACGUGUAGCGGUGAAAUGCGUAGAGAUGUGGAGGAACACCAGUGGCGAAGGCGGCUUUUUGGUCUG